rnacentral:rRNA from 1 species
UACGAAGGGGGCUAGCGUUGCUCGGAAUCACUGGGCGUAAAGGGUGCGUAGGCGGGUUUUUAAGUCAGGGGUGAAAUCCUGGAGCUCAACUCCAGAACUGCCUUUGAUACUGAAGAUCUUGAGUCCGGGAGAGGUGAGUGGAACUGCGAGUGUAGAGGUGAAAUUCGUAGAUAUUCGCAAGAACACCAGUGGCGAAGGCGGCUCACUGGCCCGAUACUGACGCUGAGGAGCGAAAGCGUGGGUAGCGAACAGG